rnacentral:rRNA from 1 species
GACGAACGCUGGCGGCGUGCUUAACACAUGCAAGUCGAACGGAAAGGCCCUGCUUUUGUGGGGUGCUCGAGUGGCGAACGGGUGAGUAACACGUGAGUAACCUGCCCUUGACUUUGGGAUAACUUCAGGAAACUGGGGCUACUACCGGAUAGGAGCUCCUGCUGCAUGGUGGGGGUUGGAAAGUUUCGGCGGUUGGGGAUGGACUCGCGGCUUAUCAGCUUGUUGGUGGGGUAGUGGCUUACCAAGGCUUUGACGGGUAGCCGGCCUUGGAGGGUGACCGGCCACAUUGGGACUGAGGUACGGCCCAGACUCCUACGGGAGGCAGAAGUGGGGAGUAUUGCACAAUGGGCGGAAGCCUGAUGCAGCAACGCCGCGUGCGGGAUGACGGCCUUCGGGUUGAAAACCGCUUUCGCCUGUGACGAAGCGUGAGUGACGGUAAUGGAUAAAGAAGCACCGGCUAACUACGUG